CUAUGUUUGACCUUGUUGGAUACAAAAUUCUUAAGACUAAAUUGAGAUGUGGAAAUAUUGGAAAUUUGUUAAGGGUAAAAAUUGAAAUUUCUCAUGUGGAAAUACCAUAAAAGAUUAAGGACAAAAUUGGAAUUACUCAUGUGGAAAUACUAUAAAAGGUUGAGGACAAAAUUGGAAUUUCACAUGUGGAAAUACUAUAAAAGGUUGAGGACAAAAUUGGAAUUUCAACUUGGAAAUAUUAGAAAAGGUGAGGGGCAAAUUGGUAAUUUCACUUAGAAGUCUUUAUGUCUUCCAACUCUUAGAACUUUCAAGACAAUUCAAGAAAGAAGAAAAAAAAAACAAAGGAAAAGAAAAUAAGGGGAAAAUCGAUCAAGGAAAAAAAUAGGGAGAAAAUUGAAAUCUUGCUCCAAAAAUUAUUUUCUCCUAGUAUUCCUACUAAUUCAAGGAUUCUCUACAAUAUGAUAAAGUUAUUUUGGAAAAUAGGAGGCUUGUUUGGUUGAUUUGAAGCUUUGGUAAAGUGAAGAAGUUGGAAGGAAAAGAUUUUGGAGGAAACGGGAAUUGAACUUGGACAACCGUAAAACGUCAAAAAGAUUUUGGAGGAAACGAAAAUUGAACUUGGACAACCGUAAAAGGCCAAAAAGGUACCGAAGUUCGAUUUGCUGAUCCACCUGUUUAGGAUAUUUGCUGCGUCGUUGACAGUGCUCCCUUGUUCGGAGCUUGUAUUUUGGUACUGACUUUAUCUCUGUAUAUUUGGAUAUGUUGGUCAGGGGUACGACGGGGCCUUGUCCCGUCAUAUGACUAUGCUAUCAUCUGUAGAGGUCUGUAGACAGAGUUAUGUUGUGGGUUUUGUAUAUAUGGUUUGGAUUUUUGUGUGUUUUAUGACAACCUUUCAACUCUCGUGCGUAUAUCUACUUUUAUGAUAUAUUUAGCAAUUUCUACUAA